rnacentral:rRNA from 1 species
AGAACUUUGAAGAGAGAGUUCAAGAGUACGUGAAACCGUUCAGGGGUAAACCUGCGAAACUCGAAUGAACGAACGGAGAGAUUCAUCGUCAUUCCGCGGCGUACGUGCGCGCGCCUCGAUGUCGCCGGUUCCGAUCGUGCGACACGGGUCGCGCACGUCGACGUCCGCGGACGGCGUGCACUUCUCUCUUAGUAAUACAUCGCGACCCGUUCGGAGUCGGCCUAAGCUUCGUCCCGGAGUCCCGUCGUCCAACGCAAGGCGGACGGUUGGACGGUGACGUUCGCCGGCCGGCUGUGCCGGACGGUAUUCAAACCUAAGAUAGGAAUCGCGCACGCGUUCAACGCGUCCGGCCCGACGCAAGACAACGUCGUCGUCGACGUCCUGCCCGUGCGCGGACGUUGGUGCGGCGCGUCUGUUGUCGCAGCCGUGCCGUCUCGGACUGUGCGCGUCUCUGUCUGCGAUGAUUCAGUUUCGGGCACUCGCAGGACCCGUCUUG